UUUUAUGUAUGUUACAUCAGAACUUUUGAUCGGGUAGACCGAUUUCGACAAAUUUUGUUUUAAUCGAAAGGUGGUGUGUGUCAAUUGGUCCCAUUUAAAUUUAUUUGAAAUCUAACAACUACUUUUCGAGUUAUAUCUAAUAAUGCUUUUUCACUUGACGCUUUUUUCGUCGACCUACGUUGUAUUAUACCGCAUAACUUUCUACUGGAUGUACCGAUUUUGAUAAUUCUUUUUUUGUUGGAAAGGAGAUA
rnacentral:misc_RNA from 1 species